ACAGGUUGCCCAGUGAGGUUGUGGAUGCCACCUCCCUACAGAAGUGGAAGGCCAGGCUGGAUGGGGCUUUGAGCAACCUGGUCUAGAGGGAGGUGUCCCAGCCUAUAGCAGGGAGUUGGAACUAGAUUAUCUUAAUGGUCCCUUCCAACCCAAACCAUUCUGUGAUCUGAUUUCCAUCUGCGAAGAGACUUCUCAGUGUUCUCUUAGCCAUACUUCAAAGCUAAUUAGUACUGCUUUGGUUUACCUCACAGCACUGCUGAUUAUUACACUAUUAUUGAUUUGUAAAUUUGUUUUUGGGUGUUGUUUUUUUUUUUUAUGUUUGUUUCUAUAAGAGGCAAACAGAAGUUUCUAACUAGCCAUCUAGUGGGGCUAUUUUACCAGAAAGUAACAGAAAGUAGAAAAUAAUGGGUAAUUUUUAACAGGAGGUUACACUAGUAGAAUUUCAGGAAACUGUCAUCUUGCUUGAUAUAAGCGACACCCUCAACUGAAGUUUCAAAUCAAACUGUGAAGGAAAAGGUCUUCACCUCAUGUGAACACAUCAGUGCCAUUCCGUAUCAAGCAGCCAUUCAGUUUGUUUACUUCGUCAGAAGUUCUGUGCUUGUAUAAGUAAUGACAGGCAUUAGAAAACAACGCCCAAGAAAGAACUGCAGAGUUUGUUAAGUAAGUAAUCAUCUCACCAUCACCAUAUCAGAGCUGCUUUACUCUGCUCUCAUGUAAGCACGUAGCAUGCUUGUGGAUAGACCCUCCUGUAUGUCGAUGACUUACAUUCUGAUGUGCAGAAACAUGACAGCAAACACCCAAAGCUUAUGCAGCAAAGCGUGCAUAGGUCAGACCAGAUUCCGAGUUCCUCUUCCACAAGCAAAAAUUCUUCAAUAUACAGAGGCAUAGUGACAUCACAUUCCAUAUCACAAAAGUUACUGCAUAGCAGCCGAGCCACAGGAACUCUUAAAUGUGGGGAUUAAAAAGUAUGAUACAUGCAAAAUCGUUUAUUUUAGUGCUGUUAUUGUAGGCCAGGACAAAUGAGUCUGUGUACUUUU
ensembl:lncRNA